rnacentral:miRNA from 2 species
UUGGAUUUUUAUUUAGGACGG